rnacentral:rRNA from 1 species
AACGAACGCUGGCGGCAUGCCUAACACAUGCAAGUCGAACGAAAACUUCGGGUCUAGUGGCGCACGGGUGCGUAACGCGUGGGAACCUGCCCUUAGGUUCGGAAUAACUCCCCGAAAGGGGUGCUAAUACCGGAUAAUGUCUUCGGACCAAAGAUUUAUCGCCUUUGGGUGGGCCCGCGUUGGAUUAGCUAGUUGGUAGGGUAAACGCCUACCAAGGCGACGAUCCAUAGCUGGUCUGAGAGGAUGCUCAGCCACACUGGGACUGAGACACGGCCCAGACUCCUACGGGAGGCAGCAGUGGGGAAUAUUGGACAAUGGGCGAAAGCCUGAUCCAGCAACGCCGCGUGAGUGAUGAAGGCCUUAGGGUUGUAAAGCUCUUUUACCCGGGAUGAUAAUGACAGUACCGGGAGAAUAAGCUCCGGCUAACUCCGUG